rnacentral:rRNA from 1 species
CCUACGGGAGGCAGCAGUGAGGAAUAUUGGUCAAUGGACGAGAGUCUGAACCAGCCAAGUAGCGUGAAGGAUGACUGCCCUAUGGGUUGUAAACUUCUUUUAUAAAGGAAUAAAACGAGGCACGUGUGCCCUUUUGCAUGUACUUUAUGAAUAAGGAUCGGCUAACUCCGUGCCAGCAGCCGCGGUAAUACGGAGGAUCCGAGCGUUAUCCGGAUUUAUUGGGUUUAAAGGGAGCGUAGAUGGGUUGUUAAGUCAGUUGUGAAAGUUUGCGGCUCAACCGUAAAAUUGCAAUUGAUACUGGCAGUCUUGAGUACAGUUGAGGUAGGCGGAAUUCGUGGUGUAGCGGUGAAAUGCUUAGAUAUCACGAAGAACCCCGAUUGCGAAGGCAGCUUACUAAACUGUGACUGACAUUGAGGCUCGAAAGUGUGGGUAUCAAACAGGAUUAGAUACCCGGGUAGUC